rnacentral:rRNA from 1 species
GGCCCUACGGGGGGCAGCAGUGGGGAAUAUUGCGCAAUGGGGGAAACCCUGACGCAGCAACGCCGCGUGCGGGAUGAAGGCCUGCGGGUUGUAAACCUCUUUCAGCAGGGAAGAUCCAAGACGGUACCUGCAGAAGAAGCCCCGGCUAACUACGUGCCAGCAGCCGCGGUAAUACGUAGGGGGCGAGCGUUAUCCGGAUUCAUUGGGCGUAAAGCGCGCGCAGGCGGGUUGCUAAGCGGGACCUCUAAUCUCAGGGCUCAACCCUGGGCCGGGUCCCGAACUGGCCGCCUCGGGUUCGGGAGGGG